ACGAACGCCUGCGGCGUGCUUAACACAUGCAAGUCGAACGGUGAAGGUGGAGCUUGCUCUGCUGGAUCAGUGGCGAACGGGUGAGUAACACGUGAGCAAUCUGCCCCGAACUCUGGGAUAACCGCGGGAAACCGUGGCUAAUACUGGAUAUGUCGAGUGACCGCAUGGUCUGCUCGUGGAAAGAUUUUUCGGUUCGGGAUGAGCUCGCGGCCUAUCAGCUUGUUGGUGAGGUAAUGGCUCACCAAGGCGACGACGGGUAGCCGGCCUGAGAGGGUGACCGGCCACACUGGGACUGAGACACGGCCCAGACUCCUACGGGAGGCAGCAGUGGGGAAUAUUGCACAAUGGGCGCAAGCCUGAUGCAGCAACGCCGCGUGAGGGAUGACGGCCUUCGGGUUGUAAACCUCUUUUAGUAGGGAAGAAGCGAAAGUGACGGUACCUGCAGAAAAAGCACCGGCUAACUACGUGCCAGCAGCCGCGGUAAUACGUAGGGUGCAAGCGUUGUCCGGAAUUAUUGGGCGUAAAGAGCUCGUAGGCGGUUUGUCGCGUCUGCUGUGAAAUCCCGAGGCUCAACCUCGGGCCUGCAGUGGGUACGGGCAGACUAGAGUGCGGUAGGGGAGAAUGGAACUCCUGGUGUAGCGGUGGAAUGCGCAGAUAUCAGGAAGAACACCGAUGGCGAAGGCAGUUCUCUGGGCCGUAACUGACGCUGAGGAGCGAAAGCGUGGGGAGCGAACAGGAUUAGAUACCCUGGUAGUCCACGCCGUAAACGUUGGGCGCUAGAUGUGGGGACCAUUCCACGGUUUCCGUGUCGCAGCUAACGCAUUAAGCG
rnacentral:rRNA from 1 species